UUUUUGAGAUAGGGUCUCAUGUAGUGCAGGCUAGCCCUGAACUCAUUAUGUAGCUGAGAAUGACCUUGAACUCCUGAUCAGACCAGGCUGGCCUCAAACUCAGAAAUCUGCUUGCCUCUGCCUUGCAAGUGCUGGGAUUAAAGGCUUGCGCACCACUGCCCGGCUCAGUCCUUUUUUUUUUUUUUUUUUUAAGAUUUAUUUAUUUAUUAUUAUUUGUAAGUACACUGUAGCUGUCUUCAGACACCCCAGAAGAGGGCGUCAGAUCUCUUUAUGGAUGGUUGUGAGCCACCAUGUGGUUGCUGGGAUUUGAACUCAGGACCUUCAGAAGAGCAGUCGGUGCUCUUAACGGCUGAGCCAUCUCUCCAGCCCUCCUUUUUUUUUUUAAUUUUUUUUUUUGUUUUUCAAGACAGGGUUUCUCUGUGUAGCCCUGGCUGUCCUGGAACUCACUCUGUAGAUCAGGCUGGCCUCGAACUCAGAAAUCCGCCUGCCUCUGCCUCCCAAGUGCUGGGAUUACAGGCGUGCGCCACCACACCCGGCUUCUUUUUUUAAUUUAAUUUUAUUUUUAAUUGUUUUUUGGGACCGGCUGCCUUCCAUUCCUGGUUUAUCGGUGUCUGGGAUGAAGCCCCAGGCUCUCUGCAGGCUGGGCACAUCUGCCCACCAAGCUAUGCGCCAGUUCCGAGGUUAUCUCUGUUUGUUUUGUUUUUGAGAAAGGGUCUCUCUAUAGUCCUGACGGUCCUAGAACUCAUUAUUUAGACCAGGCUGGCUUUGAACUCGCACUGAUCUGCCUCCCAAGUGCUGAGAUUAAAGACAUGUGCUGUCGGGCCUGACUUAUUUAAUCUUUCUUAAGACAAAAGACUUAUGUAGCCCAGGCUAGCCUUGACCUGGUGACGAGGCUCCCGCCUCAGCGUCCUGAGUGUUGGGAUCACAUGAGCUACUUUGUGACUUCAGUGGUUGGAGUGACCGGCCUGCUGGCUGCCUCACCUGUCCAGGCCAGGCCUGUCUCUCUGCACAGGUGCCUCACAUGUUAGGCUAGUGGCCCGCCCCACCCCGCCCCGCCCUGCUCUGUCCCCUCGCUGUGGCAGGGAACCCUCUGCUGUUCCCAGCCUGGCCACACAGCCCUAUGCUGUGGACAGGACGGGGGCCAAGGCAGAGGAGAUGCUGCGGGGAGUCACCCCCAGCUCUGAUAGUGCAGGCUGUCCCUCUGAGGGAUGCCACCUCCUCUGUCUCUGCCAGAUCCAAAGACCGGCCUGGGAGUCAUAGGCGCCCACAACACUCACCCUGGCCAUUGGCCACAUCAGCCAAUGUCCCACAUCAGGCCUUGUGCCGUAGCUCAGCCCCAUCCAUCAGGGUCAGCACUGGCCACACACAUGACUUCUGCUGAAGUCCUCGCUCAGGUCCCUCUUUCUAACGUCCCCAGCUCUCCCUCAUCCCAGGCUAAGUGCUCCCAGCCGCUCUGAGUCCCUGGCUUGUGUCCUCUUGGCCCCUAGCUCUCCCUUGCCUGACAGCUCACGUGUCCGGCCUCCAGGGGCUGAGGGGCAGAGUGACCCCACAUCUAUGACCAGAGACCCCUCCUGCCAUGCAUGGGUGCUGUCUCCUCGCACCUACUGGACCUGACCCCGGGCCGCCCUCACUGCUGGGCUGUGAUGGAACUUCAGUUCUUCAUACUGGUUUCAUCAACCCCUGUACACCCCCACCCCCCAAGACAGGUCUCUCUGUGCAGCCCUGGCUGUCCUGGAAUCACUCUGUAGACCAGGCUGGCCUCUGCCUCGCAAGUCCUAGGAUUAAAGUCAUGUGCUACCAGCACACGGCCUUCAGUUCUCAAAAUUCAGGCAGCUUAAAGAUUGUCCCUUCCAAGUACAUUCAGCACCCAUGGGAAAAUCAGGAGCUAGAGAUUAGCCCUGGCUGCAUAGUCUGUAGACGCAGGCAGCCCGCACCUCUGUCUAGAACAUUCUGUCUCCUUAGGAAGAUGUAUCCAUCCCGGGACAUGGUAGAUUAUUCCAUCUCCCCCACUGCCCGGAGCCCAGGCCGGGCUCUUGCGUUUGGCUCUCUAAGGCCUGGCUUGAGGUCCUUCCGUGCUGUUGUCCUGCUGGAGUCUCUCUCUUGUUCAUGGCUGUGUGAUACUCCUGCUAUGGACACAGUGUGCUGUGUGCCCUGGCGGACACUCUGGUGUGGCGACUCGCUGCUGCGGGUGCUCCUAGUUUCCCUUCGCGUGUUUUGGAAACGCAUUUGUAGAGUCUAAUGGAAGCCAGAGCUUUGCUGUCUGGGACGCUCACUGCCUGCUUCCGCACAGGCCGCGCCUUCAGCCCGCACAGCCUCGCCACAGCUGCUCCUGCUGGCUUUUGCCGGCUUUUGAGUCAAGCCAGCCUCGGUGGUAUCCUGCUCUGAUUUCUGUUUUGAGUUUUUUGACAGGGUUUUGCAGUGUAGCCCUGGCUGUUCUCACAGUCCUCCUGCCUCAGCCUCUCAAGGGCUGUGUCAACAAGGAUGCACCUCAGUGCCCGUGCCUGUCUGCACUACACGGGCCCCUGGAUAGGAGGCAGGAUGUUGCCUGAGUGCAUAAGGGCAGCUCCAGCGGCUGGGUCUGGGGCGUUGUUCUGGGCUGCCAGGGGUGUGUGAGUCUAGUGGACCCUGCCCUCCUGAGAGGAGGCCAAGCCCUAAGAGAGCCCUGUGUGGGAGCAGAGCCCUGUGCUGCUGCCUGCCUCCAGGGAAAGAGCCUUCUCCCAUCUCUCCAGCAGCUCGGCUUACUUGAGGAUGCCAGGAAUGAGCACUUGGGGCCCUGCUAUGAGGAAACUGGAGCCUGUGGUCUGACGAAGGGAGAUCCAGAAGGGCACCCAGGCCCCAGUUCCCCAGCCCAGCUUCUCCCAGAUGGUGCCUCCCACCCUGAUCCCUCGGGUGGGGGCAGGGUGGAGUCUGAAGGGGGCAGGCGCACACCGCAGAGCUUGGUGCUUCAGAGGCCCAGGGAAGCUUUGUCUUCUUCUCCCAAGGGGUGUCCCGGAGAAGUGGGGUCAACCAGGCUCUCGGCCCAGCAGGGUGCGCCGUUGUUGACAGCCCUUCUGGGCUGAUCCGCCCCCUACAGUAAUUCUCUGCGCUCUGCCAGUAACUGCCCUGACUUACCAGGCAGGCAUCAUUUCCUGAAACCCAGCCCAGCCUUAGGGGAAGUCGGAGCCGGUGACUAACCCUCAUGCAAAUGGGGCCGGCAAGAUCGCUUCUGCCUCUGUCCCCCACGGAGCCGCUGAGCCUGCGGCUACCGUGGUCAUGAGGCUGGUGCUCCCCGGUAGCUCUUCCAGGGGGACCCGACAGCCACCGCUCAGCGCCCCCGCACCCCGGCCAUGUCACAGCUGCGCUUCUGGCUGCAGUUCGCCGCGCUCAACAAGGACAUCAGCCACCCUCUCCCUUCAGGCCAUCUCCCUGGGCCAGCUGUGACUGACAUUGUCCCAUCUUGGGCUGAGACCAGCGUGGGAGUCAUUGGGUUUGCCUCCUGCAGCCACAGUUGUGGGGACCAUCACUGGUAGCUGGGGCCAUUGUGGGAGGGUGCUGGGCCCCAGGGAGCCUGAGACAUGGAGCGCCAGUGUUCCAGGGCUUCUCACAACUCCUCUGCCUUCUCGCUUGUCCAGAGCUGGGUUCCCUCGGGAUUUUCUCACCAUUCGAGAGACCAAGGAUCGCAGAGCUGUCCUAUGCUGCCCGUCCAGGGUCUAGACUAGGUGUUUUGCUGGGGACAGGGCACAAGCUGUGACUGUCCAAGUCUGCUCCUUGUAUACAAUGGGGAAACAGGACUCGAGAGUCCUUUCCUGUCCCCCACCCCCCCAUGCAGGCUGCCGCCUCAGCAGCAGGGUCAUAGCCCUGUGAGGCAGGGAUUGUAAAACCCAGCCCCAUGACAGCCCAGGGUUCCCUGGGAAGUCACUAGGUUCUCAGACCAUUGCCUCCCCUUCCCUGGGUCAGAUCAGAUGGCUCGGCAUGAUAACCCUCAGAGAAGGUGGGCAGUUCCCAGGACCAAGACUCUGGAGUCUAAGGAGAUAAACCCUAGAGAGCGGCCUCAUGCCGGGCUGGGUAGGCUGGGGGCCAUACUCAGGGCUCUUCUCUCCCUCCCAACCUUGAGGCCUUGAAACCCUGUUGCCAAGUCACUUAGCCUUCCUGUCUCCUGGGAAAGAGAGACCUGUCACAGGUCCCCAGGUUCAGGGGCAGCCCCUUCCUUCAGCCUGGCCCCGUCCUCCCUGGGCUCGAAGCCCCCGAUCUCCACGGCGGCUCAGCCUGGCGCCUGUUGUGCACCUUGAGUGCUCACUGUCACAGCAGGGACAGGAUGUGUAAGGGACAUCCAGCAGAUCACAGCUGGCUCUGCUUAUACCGCUAGAGGAGCUCCCGGCCUCCUGUCCCGCCCCACCCCGCCCCGCCAGGGAGAUGCUCCCUGAUGCCUCCUAGCAGGUCAGCAGGAUUCUCUAGCUGGCUGAUACUGUCUGAAGGGUGCUGGGCUGGGGCUGCUGGUCGCAGUGGAGCACGGGCAGGCACUGCGGACAGUGAUGCUGCCCAGGCCUUCAGGGACAUCACUCAGGCCUCCAGGCCCUUAUGCAGCAGGAUUGGGACAUGGAAACUCCCAGCCCACGGGUGCACUCAGGGUGGAGACAGCACUCCUGUCUCUCCCGCAUGGUGGCUCCUACCUGUCCUCUCAGGAGGCUGAGAUUGCUGUGAAUCUGAGGCCAGCCUGAGCUACGGAGUAAACAGACACUAUUCAGUUUCAUCCAUCUUCCAUAUAGUUCACUCAUUUGAACUGUACAUUUCUGUGGUUUUAAUGUAGUCGUGGCUGUAUAUUUAUGACUUUUAGAACAUUCCAUCCCAUUAAAAAGAAUCCUGUCACCCCACCCUUCCCCAGCUCUGGAAACCCUGAA